CUUGAACGCUGGCGGCAGGCCUAACACAUGCAAGUCGAACGAGUGGCGGACGGGUGAGUAAUGUCUGGGAAACUGCCUGCUGGAGGGGGAUAACUACUGGAACCGGUAGCUAAUACCGCAUACCAUCAGAUGUGCCCAGAUGGGAUUAGCUGGGUGGUGGGGUAACGGCUCAACAAGGCUACGAUCCCUAGCUGGGUUGAGAGGAUGACCAGCCAAACUGGAACUUAGACAAGGGCGAGACUCCUAUGGGAGGCAGCAGGGGGGAAUAUUGCGCAAGGGGCGCAAGCCUGAUGCAGCCAUGCCGCGGGUAUGAAGAAGGCCUUCGGGUUGGAAAGUACUUUCAGCGGGGAGGCGUUACCCGCAGAAGAAGCACCGGCUAACUCCGUGCCAGCAGCCGCGGUAAUUC
rnacentral:rRNA from 1 species